UUUUUCACCGUUCAAAUAUGGUGGAAUGCUGAUCUAUUUUUAAAUCAGGAUUACACACGUGCUCUGCAUGGUGACCGUCAUUUUUAAUUGAAAACUCUUGCUCGCUGUUGUUAUUACAUGCCAUAAAACAUUUUCAUCAAUUAUGAACGUAAAUGCUGACUUCUUAAACAUGCAUCGGUUAAUCUUUUUUGUGAAAUACCAUGAUAUUGCUUGUCCCAUUGUCUGCACUGUUUCGGAGAUUGCAACUUUUAAACCUUAAAUAUGCCUGACGUCAUGACGUCUGCACUAGAAAAGACUGAUCUUUCUGCUUAAAUUUGCACGUUCCAUUUAUGAAUUUUUGAUCAGCAGCGAAAAUUAAAAUUUAUUUCUAAUAAGAUACCCAGUAGUCUAUUUGAUACAUGCAUGCCUCCAUUGAAUAAAUCUUUUUAGUCAGGCAAGUUUUUUGGAAAACUAUUACUUGUUGAAGAAAAAAGUGUUAAAACUAUCAACAAGAGGCCUUCAUGGAUGUGCUACAUUGUUUACCCUUACAAUAGUUUUGUAUAUUGCUUUCUUCUAAAACAAUUGUUAUGCUAUCAGAAAUUCUCAUACAUUCCAAGAUUUGCCUAUGCAUCAAAGCAAUACAUGAAAUACAUGAAAAACUACUUUUGUGACCUCAUAUACUGAGAUUUGUUUUAUUUAAUGUAAGGUACGCUAACUAUUAAAGUUUGAUGAUAUCGUAUUCAAAGUAAUGAAUACUAUCAGUACUUCUAAACCACCAAAUGUAGAUCAAAGGGACUGGGAUGUACAUGUAAGACCGUGAAGAUGCUUGCAUAAUUAUAUCACAAAUUGUAAUAUAGUAUUUUCAAGAGUAAAAAAUUUUGAAA
rnacentral:sRNA from 1 species